GAUUCAUUGGUUUUUAUCAGUCAACCCAUCAGAAGCUGAUAAAAACACGUGAGUUUUCAAUGGCUUCAUUAACGUAUUGUUUCGCAGUGCUUGACACCGAAGCAAUACGUUUUUUU
rfam:Alkalibacterium sp. AK22 ATG3_contig_3, whole genome shotgun sequence.